CCAGCCCGGUCCCCCCCGGCCUCCCGCACCUGUUUUCUUCUUCGGCGUGUCCUGGUGCUGCGGGCCCGCGUGCUUGUGCUCAUGUUUCAGCAGCGGCUUCGGCGGGGCCUUGGGGCUGGGCUCGGCCGCAUGCUGCAGGGAAGAAUCAACAUUUAAAGAGUUUCCAAAAGGAAAUGAAACACGGCAGGUAAAAGAGACCUUAACCCUUAUCUGUUUAUGACACGGAGAAUGGACUCAACCCCAAGGACAUAGUCGUGAAUGAGGCGGUCGAGUUGGAGGAUGAUAUGGAGCACAUGGCAGGGUCAUCUGGUGGUGCGGCAAGUCAGGACCUCUUUUCCACUCCAGAGGAGUCUAGCCAGUCCCAGCAGUCCAUCUAGUGCAUAUGAUGCAGGAGAGGAGAGCCAUGCCCCCUGGUCGACUUCCCAACUCCAAACUGAUUUGUGUUUGACCGGUAGCAGUCUGGAGUCACCAGCUUCCACACAGCGAUCGCCAUGCACUUCUCCAUCAAGAAGACAGCUUUUAUUUUGGUGUCCUUGUGCCGCAGUGCUGGAGCAAGCUCUGCAUGCAGUGCCUGGAAGGUGGCUUUCCACAUCCAAAAGUUCUGCAGCCACUGCUCGUCAUCUAGUCCUGCAUAACAAUGCGAUCCCACCACUCAGUGCUUGUUUCCAGAGCCUUAAAGCUAUGGUCCACCAAGUUCAGCUGCUCCAGGAAUGCCAAAAGUAAUCUGGUGUUGUAUGUUUCCGUGGCACACAACAGGUCAGGCAACUCUGAUUCCUGUUCAGAGUCUGAGCUCAUGGUAUAUUGCAUGACCAUCCGCAAUGUGUUCAUAACAGUGACCGCAACAGUAAAGCGCACUGCAGGAUCCAAGCUUUCAGACGGAGAUGGUGGGCGCAUAUUAAACUGGGACUGUUGAAAAAUGCCGCGAAAUGCAGUUGGAAACCCAUGGAAUGAUGGGACAAAAAACUGCAUCAUGGGACAUUGAGCCCAUGUGAACCCAUGAUGUGCUGCGAUCCAUUCCGCCUUCUCACAACUCCUGGCUGCAGAAGGGGGUGAGGAACACAGUGGGAUAGCUACCCCCAGGGCACUGCUCUCUCUGUCGAUGCUAGACUACCAACUGUGGACACGCUCCGCCGACAGAAGGAGCAUUGUGUGAACACGCACAAGCAAUGUAAUUAUACUGGUUUUCGAUCGUCAGCGUAUCAUGCAAAAGUAUCAUGGGACUUCUCUGAGUGCCAUUAAAUAUUAAUAUGAUUGAUUAUCAAUGAGCAUCUUUAGACUGGUAGACGCUGUCCUGGUCCCGGAAGCGUACACAAUGCGAUCCUUAACCUCUUGAGUCCAACUCAACAAGGAGACCACACAAAAAUCAUUCUUACCAUAAACA